UGAAGGCUGAAAUUCGCCUUCAUGAAGCUGGAAUUGCUAGUAAUGGCAGGUCAGCAUACUGCCGUGAAUACGUUCCCGGGCCUUGUACACACCGCCCGUCACACCAUGAGAGUUGGGAAUACCCGAAGCCUGUGAGCUAACUUAUAGAGGCAGCAGUCGAAGGUAGAAUCAAUGAUUGGGGUGAAGUCGUAACAAGGUAAC
rnacentral:rRNA from 1 species